GAUGAAGAACGCAGCGAAAUGCGAUACGUAAUGUGAAUUGCAGAAUUCAGUGAAUCAUCGAAUCUUUGAACGCAUAUUGCGCUCUUUGGUAUUCCGAAGAGCAUGCUUGUUUGAGUAUCAGUAAACACCUCAAAGCUUUUGGAUUUUUUAAUCGAAAAGCUUUGGACUUGAGCAAUCCCAACACCAAUCUUUUUGAGAUCGGUGGCGGGUUGCUUGAAAUGCAGGUGCAGCUGGACAUUCUCCUGAGCUAAAAGCAUAUUCAUUUAGUCCCGUCAAACGGAUUAUUACUUAUGCUGCAGCUAACAUAAAGGGAGUUUGACCGUAUUGGCUGACUGAUGCAGGAUUUCACAAGGGUCGGCAACGAUUCUUGUUAAACUCGAUCUCAAAUCAAGUAAGACUACCCGCUGAACUUAAGCAUAUCAAUAAGCGGAGGA
rnacentral:misc_RNA from 1 species